AGGGGCAGACACCCCCAUUACGUAUGGCGCCCUCCCUCUCUUGGGGUGUAGUACUACGAUACCGCUGGGAUCACUCAAACCCCCAGAACUGAGCCUCUACUUUAGUCAACCCUCUUUGCGUAGAGAUGACGGCCAGUGGGCUUCAAUGUUUCUCGGCCAGGCUGAGUAAAAUAAGGCGAUUGGUUUCACGGCUGAUAAUCGAUGAAAAAUCAAAUUCGAGCGUCGGAUCGGGAAAGGCUAAGCUAUAGGUUUACGACCAGCGUCAGUCGGUAUUUCCGGCUGACUGAAAUAGAAGAGCCUUUCAUUGAUAUCUUGCCUACAAAAAAAUCAGUACUCAAUUAAGCUUGAUUGAAACAAUGUCAAGUGGGCAUUAAUCAACUCACUAGUUGAUCCACCCCUGU